GGUGGCGUAGCCGAGUGGCUCAGGCAAGGGUCUGCAAAACCCUCGACGUGGGUUCGAUUCCCACCGCCACCU
rnacentral:tRNA from 1 species